rnacentral:rRNA from 1 species
UCCAGACUCCUACGGGAGGCAGCAGUGGGGAAUAUUGCGCAAUGGGCGAAAGCCUGACGCAGCGACGCCGCGUGAAGGAUGAAGUAUUUCGGUAUGUAAACUUCUAUCAGCAGGGAAGAAAAUGACGGUACCUGACUAAGAAGCCCCGGCUAACUACGUGCCAGCAGCCGCGGUAAUACGUAGGGGGCAAGCGUUAUCCGGAUUUACUGGGUGUAAAGGGAGCGUAGACGGCGAUGCAAGCCAGAUGUGAAAGCCCGGGGCUCAACCCCGGGACUGCAUUUGGAACUGUGUGGCUGGAGUGUCGGAGAGGCAAGUGGAAUUCCUAGUGUAGCGGUGAAAUGCGUAGAUAUUAGGAGGAACACCGGUGGCGAAGGCGGCCUGCUGGACUGCAACUGACGUUGAGGCCCGAAAGCGUGGGGAGCAAACAGGAUUAGAUACCCUUGUAUU